rnacentral:rRNA from 1 species
GAUGAACGCUGGCGGCGUGCCUAAUACAUGCAAGUCGAGCGAACGGACGAGAAGCUUGCUUCUCUGAUGUUAGCGGCGGACGGGUGAGUAACACGUGGAUAACCUACCUAUAAGACUGGGAUAACUUCGGGAAACCGGAGCUAAUACCGGAUAAUAUUUUGAACCGCAUGGUUCAAAAGUGAAAGACGGUCUUGCUGUCACUUAUAGAUGGAUCCGCGCUGCAUUAGCUAGUUGGUAAGGUAACGGCUUACCAAGGCAACGAUGCAUAGCCGACCUGAGAGGGUGAUCGGCCACACGGGAACUGGGACACGGUCCAGACUCCUACGGGAGGCAGCAGUAGGGAAUCGUCCGCAAUGGGCGAAAGCCUGACGGAGCAACGCCGCGUGAGUGAUGAAGGUCUUCGGAUCGUAAAACUCUGUUAUUAGGGAAGAACAUAUGUGUAAGUAACUGUGCACAUCUUGACGGUACCUAAUCAGAAAGCCACGGCUAACUACGUG